rnacentral:piRNA from 1 species
GUACAGAAUGCCUCAGGUCCU